AAUGAUGCAGAAGAAAGCGAUAUGACAAAUGGAUAUUUGGAGACAAAAAUAGACUGGAUUCCUGGAAUGAAAGAUAUUCGUCUGAAGGACCUUCCGACCUUCAUUCGCACAACAGAUCGAAACGACGUUAUGCUAAACUUUGUGAUAAGAGUAAUUGAUAGAGCUUCAAAAGCUUCAGCUGCUCUUUUGAAUACUUUUGAUGACUUAGAUCAUGAUGUUCUGGUUGCUCUCUCAUCUAUGUUUCCUCCGAUUUAUUCUGUUGGUCCUCUUAAUUUGCUUCUUGAUCAAACACAGAAUGAUCAUCUAGCAUCAAUUGGAUCCAGUCUGUGGAAAGAAGAGACUGAAUGCCUGCAAUGGCUGGACUCCAAGGAUCCCAAUUCUGUUGUCUACGUGAAUUUUGGAAGCAUCACUGUCAUGAAUCCACAGCAACUUGAGGAGUUUUCUUGGGGACUAGCUAACAGCAAGAAGAAUUUUUUAUGGAUAAUCAGGCCUGAUCUUGUCAGGGGCGAAUCAGCGGUUUUGCCUCCAGAGUUUCUUGAAGAGACUAGAGAGAGAGGCCUGAUGGCGAGCUGGUGUGCGCAGGAAAAAGUCCUGAAGCAUUCAUCGAUAGGAGGGUUUUUAAGUCACAUGGGGUGGAAUUCCACCAUUGAAAGCUUGUCCAACGGCGUGCCAAUGCUAUGCUGGCCUUUCUUCUCCGAACAACAAACUAACUGUAAGUUUGCUUGCGUUGAUUGGGGUGUUGGCAUGGAAAUUGAAAGUGAUGCAAAUAGAGAUGAAGUGGAGAAGCUUGUGAUAGAGUUAAUUGAUGGGGAGAAAGGUAAGGAAAUGAAAAGGAAGGCAAUGGAAUGGAAGUCAAAGGCUGAAGCGACAACAGGUGUUAAUGGUUCAUCAUCCAUGAAUUUUGACAAACUUGUCGACGACGUGCUCCGGUUCCAAAAACCUUGAAUUAGCUUCUUUGAUGAAAUUGUUGUUACAUCUGCAGGUUGUCUGCCUUUAGCUUUUUUACAUUCUGUUACAUACUCCACUUUUCCAUUCAGCCAAUUGAAUACAGAGUUAUUAAACCCGGCCCGGGGGUUGACCCGGCCAAGGGGCCGGGUCUCGGGUUUCAUGGGUCAACCCGGGUUGACCCGGAUUAACCCGUAAUAAUUAAAAAAAAAUUAAUAUUUCAUAUGAAAAAAUUCAUGUAAAUAUAGAUUAUACAUAUUAUAAAUAAUGAAGUUUAAAAUAAUAUUUUAAAAAGUUUUUUAUCCCACAUUAUAAAGAUAUUAUGUUAAGCUUUUAAGUUGAAGUAUUUAAAUUUAAAAAGUUUUUUAUCCUACAUUGAAAAAACAUAAUUUUUUUCAUGAGAACAUAGAGUAUAUAUAUGAAAAGACUUCAAAUCCCACAUUGAAAAGAUACUAUGUUAUCCCUUUAAGUUGAAGUAUUUAAACCAAAAGGUUUUUUAUCCCACAUUGAAAAAACAUGAUUUUUUCCUUGGGAACAUAGAGUAUAUAUACUAGUGGGUUUCAAAUCCCACAUUGAAAAAACAUAACUUUUUUCAUGGAAACAUAGAGUAUAUAUAUGAAAGGGCUUCAAAUCUCACAUUGAAAAGAUAUUAUGUUAUCCCUUUAAGUUGAAGUAUUUAAACCAAAAGGUUUUUUUUAUCCCAUAUUGAAAAAACAUGAUUUUUCCUUGGGAACAUAGAGUAUAUAUACUAAUGGGUUUCAAAUCCCACAUUGAAAAAAUAUAAUUUUUUUCAUGUGAACAUAGAGUAUAUAUAUGAAAGGGCUUCAAACCCCACAUUGAAAAGAUACAAUGCUAUCAUUUUAAGUUGAAAUAUUUAAACCAAAAUUUUUUUUAUCCCACAUUUAAAAAAAAAAAAAACCCGGGUCUCGUCCGGGUUUGCCCAGUCCCGGGUCGCCCGGGUUUGGCCGGGCUGUUGCCACAGCCGGUCUUUUAUUAAACCCGAACCGGUCCAGCCACCGGGUCGACCCGCCGGGCCGGGCCGGGUUUAAUAACUAUGAUUGAAUAUAUAGUUUGCCCAUAAUAGUUAGUAGUGUAUUGUUGAAUCGAGAGGACAUUGACAUACAGGUCCCCUAUUAGGCGUUGAUAUGCCUAACAUCGUCAUAUUACCCAAUUUCUCUAGAAGAAUUAGAUACAAUAUUUUGUGUCGCAAUCGCAAUUGUCAUAUUCCACAAGCUAGCAUACAUUAGGUAAUCCUGCCAACAGAGGCUCAUAUUCCACUAGAUAGCAUCUAAUUCCAUUAUGAUGAUGGUAUUUCCAUAAUUGAAAGCUACUAUGGACCUGCCCUACUCGCUCCUCCACCGAGCCAUAUUAUAACAAAAACAAUUUUUUUCUAAAAAAUAAGAAAGAACUCAAUUUAAAAUAUCAAAAUCAAUUAUAAAAAGUAACCUUUUUAUAAUCAACAUUAACCAUAAAGUAUUUUAUAACUAAUCAUCGAUCCAUAUAUAUAAAUUCACACUUUGAAUAUUCAUCAUUAACACUAUCUUAUUAUCUCUCUCAGUUGUAAUCAAUUAGAAAACAAGCAAUCUAAUUAAUCCUAACUACUAAACAAAUUAAGACAAGCACUAAAAUUUAAUCUAGUAGUAGUCUUAAAAAUUAAAGAAAUUGAAGAAGCUAACUAACAUAAGCACAAGCAGUUACAUUUAAUUUAGUCAAAAAAUCUUUCUAAAAUUUACUAAGUUCUAGCACAACAAACUAUCAAAUCUCAAUUGCUUCAUAAAUUAGAGAGAUCAAGCAAUUACACAUUUAAUAUAUAACCUAGUAUGUAGUAGAUUGCAAUGAAUAAUAAACUAGAGACCUCAUAGCAAUUAAACAAGACAAUCAUGAACAAUAUGCACUAAAACACAUACAAUACACAAAGCAUAAAUUAAACAAUGAAAACAAAUUAGAUCUUACAAUUGUAUUGAUUCUAAGGCUUCCAUUUCCUUCUAUCAAGUCAAAUUUAGUUCCACAAUACCAUCAUGAAUAUCAUAAAGAAGAGAAAGAAAUUAGGGAAGAGGGAAGAGAAAGAUAAAAGAGAGAGGGGAGACAAAAUCCGAUAUGAUCUCCCUUUUUCUCCUUUACACAUUUUUUUCCAUUUUAGAAGUCUACAAAAUCUUUUAAAAAUACUAUAUAAUAAUUAACCACCAAAUAUGAAUAUUUAAUCAAAUUAUUAAAUAAUAAAAUAGAGUUUUAAUAUAACAAUAAAAGUGAUGUCUUCAUCUUUAAUUCAUGGAUCAAGUCUAGAAGCUUCAGAAAUUAAUCACAUCAUAUUAUAUUUGCAAGCCUAAGGAUGUUCCAGCACAUUAGCAGCAUAGGUGCAACGUCUUUAUGCCAAAUUACAAACUCGAUGUAGUUAGUAUCUCUCCAAAUUAACUCAAAACAUGAAAGUUGUAGAUCUAUUCCUUAGGGUUUCAUAGCAUUUUGGAUCAUCUCAAUCAGAGCUUGGAUGAGAUAGUUCUAUCCCAAUUAUGAAGCUAUGUUAAAACUGCCCAGAAUCAUCCAAUUAACUUUAUUUUGCCAUUAACGGUUCCAUUUACAUCCUAAAUUAAAAUAUAAAAAUAAUGAGUAUAUUUAGGCAUCAAAUAAGUAUAAAAUACUGCACAUUAACAUAGAAAAAUAUGAUAUUUUGUAUUCUCAUCAAAUUCCCCCACACUUAACUUUUGUUCAUCCUUGAGGAAAACUUAGAUUCACUUUCCAUGAAAAAAAUAAAUAAAGGUUGCAAUGCCAUCAAUAAAGAAUAACAAAGCUCUUAAAAAAUAAUAACAUAUCAUGAAUAAAAAUUCUUAGACAACUUAUAAUUAUUAAAAAGCAUCUUCAUUCGAAGAUAGAGUAAGCUAAUUAAGUAGACCCUCAUAGAAAUAAACACUCAACUUUCAUGUGUUUGAAAGGUAUGUGUUUCGCUUAAAUUCAUUCUAAUGGAAAUCCUCUACCAUACCCUUGCAUAUCUUCCUAUUCUCCAUCACUAGGAUCACAUGUAUAACUCAAAUCAUAAAAACUUUUCAAGGUUUGUAACGAGGCUCAGGGAACAAAAGUACAUCAACUCAAACUCGAAUAUAUAAGACAUGUAAAAGCAUUCACUCCAUUUAGUAGCUUUUUCAAAUUGACUUUAAAGAAUUUAAACUAUGUAAAGCUCCUAUAUUAAAAAAGAGAUUGUUAAAAAGAAACACACCUUUAUGUGUGUAUAUAAUGUAUGAACAAACCUCUUUCUUGGAAUUUUAGGAGGAAUUAUGAACAUGAAUAGUUUAUAACAUUAAAAACAAUUCCUCCAUCAUUUUUUUUUCUUUUUUUACUCAAUACAUCAACAACAUAACUCAUGAAUUGAGAAUGAAAAUAUGCUCUGUAGGCAUAGCAAUACCAUCAACUAGGCUGCCUAGUGACUAAGCUGCCUCGGGCUGGAUCUGCCUUAGCCCAACCUAGUUGGUCGGGCCGAGUCCAGCCUGUCCCUAAAAUGCAGGAAGAAAAUAUGUUGGGCCGAGUCCGGCCCAACCAUUUUGGGCCUAUAAUCAACACACUUGUUUCUGGGCCUGUGUUGGGCCUAGCCCACAUGUGUUAAUAUAUUUAAUUACUUAAUAUAUAAUUAAAAAAACGAAAAUUUUCCAAAAUAAAUUUCAAAAAUCCUUUCAAAAAAUUUGUAAUUUUCUCAAAUAUUUUUCUACCAAUUUUGUUCAAUAUUGGAUUGUAUACUUACACUGUAAGAUACAAAUCCGGUAUUAAAAUACUCGGUUUUCUCUGAAAUAUUAAAAAAAAUUCAUAAAAAAAAAAUAAAUUUUAUCACAUACGGCCAAAUUCUAAAUUUUUUUCCAAGCAUAUUUUUCAUACAAAAAAAUGGAUAUUAUAACCAGUUUAUGAUUAUCCAUUAGGAUUUGGCCAACAUGUCAAAAAUCUUUUUUCCAAUUUUUUUUUCUUUUAGGAUCCAGAUGUAGACUUUAAUAUUUGUGGGGUGUAAAAUUACACGAUAAAGUACACCCUCGGGCAUUAAAGAUACAAAGUGUAAAAAUGCAGACUUUAGAAUGGUUAGGAUUUAACCGAAUAGGAUAGAGACUCUCUCACGAAGAGAGAUCUGCCUUGAACCUUAGAAAAAACCAAACAACAAUGCAGCUUACCUUAGGUAGGGUGCACUGGGGGUGAUGUGUCUUCCCUUGCACAACCAGUCUCUUACCUAGACUCCCGCAGACCAUAGGUUCCUAGUAACCAUAAUACCAGGUGGUGACUCCUAAAAAUUAAUCAUAAUUUUAUGAUUAAAUUCAAAAACCUUUCCCAACACACAAAACCUCACACAGGAGGCACAACAAAGCGUUUCCGUCGUCGCUAGACGACGUCGCGUCGGCACUCUCUCGCGACAAGACAAAUCAAAUGAUGUGGUGGAAGCACCAUUACAACUAUCAGAGUCAGUCACACGUGCCAUCCAAAGUUGAUUGAGCAUUAACACGCUACAUUUUUUUUUAUUUGUACAAAACCAAAAAUGCCCCUAAGACCAAUCAACAAUAACAAAUAAACCAUAAGGAAAUUACAAUCAAGCCCCUAAAUCCAUAGCUAAAAAAUUGAAAUGGCAUGUGUAAUGUUGUAAUUCCAUUGUUCUAUUAAACAUUAAAAUGCAAAAAUACCCUUACAUAGAAAACAUUGAAUUAUUUUAUUCUAAGGUAAAAUACAAUUACUAAAAUAAUCCAAUUUAAUUUUAAAGAGAUUUAUUUCAUGAAAAAAAGAUCACCCUAUCCCGAAACAAACCUAAGAUAAAUUAACUAAAAACAACAAUAUAGGAUCAAUCAUAAUGAAUAAUAAAUUGUUGAAUGGUUGUUUGGAAGUCUGGUUGCGAUUGCUUUUCAAAGUGUUUUUUACUCAAGAUUGCAUUAAAAAAAUGAUUUUUUUUAAAAAAUUAUUUUUGACAUCUUUACAUUAAAAUAAUUUGAAAACACUAAAAAAAUAUAUUAAUUUAAAAUUAAAAAUAACAAAAAACUUUUAAAUUUUUUAAAAACCAUUUUAAAAAUAAUAAACAAACAGAUGUAAAGCACGAUAAUACCAACGUGAAUUUAAUUCUUUUGAAAUUGUAGCUAGCGACAGUACUAGCCAGCUGUUAAAAUAACUUCCAGCUUCACAGGUUGUGACUCGACUGACAAAGCUAGCCAGCUGUUGUCAGUGAAUUGAAACGAUACCAGGGUACCAGGAACUUCCUGGUAGGUGCGCUUACUUUGACUUGACGUUUAGGAGAGCAGUGAGUGGCUGAAGGUCCACAACAACCAAAAAGAUAUCAUCACUAUCUUGUACGUUUGAAUAUAUAAUAAUUCAACGACAUAAACCGAGUUUCAUUAUAAAUUUUUAUUUUUAAAAAAAUAAAAGAAUAUAUUUUAAAAAAAUUAUUUUUUUAUGAUACUAAAUGACUCUCAUUUGAACGUUUUUAAAAAUAUAAUUGUAAUUAUUUUUAAAAGUAUUUUUUAUUUAAAAAAUAAAUUAAUAUAAUAUUUUUUAUAUUAAAAAAAUUAUUUUUGAUAUCAUCACAUUAAAAUGACAUGAAAACACCAGUAAAUAUUAAUUUGAAAUUAAAAAAAAAUUAAUUUUUUUUUUAAAAUAUUUUUAAAAUACAAAACAAACUUUAAAAUCAAUCAAAAUCAAGAUAUUUCUCUCUUCCAUCAAAUGUCAGCAUAAUUUUGCCUUCACGAUUUUAUAUAAAUUAUCCACCUCAUGUUGUUAAAGGUUUGAUAUCGUGGAAUGUUACAGGCUACAAAUUUAUCCACCUUAUUCUCUUCAUUACCUUGAUUGCAUAAACUUAUAUAGAUAAAUAAUUCAGUGCCAUAUCAUAACCACUAUAAUAAGAUUUCACGGUUUUUAUCAAUGGAUAUAAUCUGUUAGUAUAAGAUUCAGACUUUGUCAAUAAUUUUUCACCGACCACAUCACCGAUGGAAAGAAUCCGUCAUCAUCCUUUUUCGUCGGUAAUACCACAUUUCGUUGCUAAUGAGUCGGUAAAAAAAAAUUACCGAUGGUUUACAGGUGAAAAAUGGCGCGUCAAAAAAUUAAAAAUUUCUUUCUGGAAAUAUACAGAUGGAUUUAUUCCGUUAUUGAUAGUGGCAUAUCCAGUAAAUAUUUUUUUAGCUCCCGGUGAAAUGUUGACAGACGGUAUCCGUUUGUAAAUUCGUUGGUGAGUGUGGAAUUUCCACCUCUCUUUAUGAAAUACCGACAUAUUGUAUCUGUCUGUAAAUUCAUCGAUGAGUGUGGCAUUUCCACCACUCUUUGUGAAAUGUCGAUGGAUACAUUCCCUCUGCAAAUCCCUUGGUGGGUAUUUUUAAUUUUUUAAAAAAAAUUAUUUAGAUAUAAUAAUAUAAAAUUAUAUAAAUUAAUAGUAAAAAAACCAAUUAUACAAAAAAAUUUUAUUAAACAUCAAAAAUAAAAAAAAAUAAACUUAAAUAAUAUUCAUUACAAUUGAAUGUGUUUCCAAAAAAAAUAUUAAAUUAGCACAAUGACGGAGAAGGAGGCUGGUUAUUCUUGAAACCAUACAGCCAAAAAGGGACGCACAUGUAUCACCACUCUAUGAUAUCAAGUUCAAGACAAUUUGACGAAGUUGUUCAUAAUUCACCAAGAGUUGAUCGUAUUUGUCAGAGAGAUGAGUUGUGUAUUGCUGCAAGGUCACAAACUCCUUAGAUUAGGUGCUCGAUAUUGAUUGGAAGCUCCUAACAAUUGAGAUACUAUAUGCCGCUUGCAAGUUCUUGGUUGUAGUGUUGGAAAGCAUUUACACCUAAUUUUUAUUGAAUUCAGUAGAUAAUCCUAUCUCCAUUCAUAAAAUCAUAUCAAAAUCCAAAUGAUAGAAGAUUUGUUAAUGGAAUCCAUGUCUGGGUGCAUACAACUAGAAUUUAAUUCUUUUGAAAUUAUAGAGGUCAUGUAGUAGCUAGAGACAAUACUAGCCAGUGAGUGGCUGAAGGUCCACAGCAACCAAAAAGGUAUCAGCACUGUACUCUUGUACGUUUGAAUAUAUAAUUCAACGACUCUCAUUUCAGAUGCAGAAGAAAGCGAUUUGACAAAUGGAUAUUUGGAGACAAAAAUAGACUGGAUUCCUGGAAUGAAAGAUAUUCGUCUGAAGGACCUCCCGACCUUCAUUCGCACAACAGAUCGAAACGACGUUAUGCUAAACUUUGUGAUAAGAAUAAUUGAUAGAGCUUCGAAAGCUUCAGCAGCUCUUGUGAAUACUUUUGACGACUUAGAUCAUGAUGUUCUGGUUGCUCUCUCAUCUAUGUUUCCUCCGAUUUAUUCUGUUGGUCCUCUUAAUUUGCUUCUUGAUCAAACACAGAAUGAUCAUCUAGCAUCAAA
rnacentral:lncRNA from 1 species